rnacentral:sRNA from 1 species
UUACUAAAAGGGUACACUCAUAUGGAA